AUGGAGAUGGUAGGGGACUACGGCAAGUUCGUGGGGCAGCAAUCUGAAGGUCAUUCUCGCGGCCCUGAGAUCCAGAGUAAGGUUCCAGAUCCUCUUUCUCGUCAUUUUCGUAGGAAGAAUGAGGACAAAGGCGAGGUUCCAGUUAUCCCUACGUUCGAAGAUGAGAGCUUGGAGGGGUCGAUGCAACUGGAGAGACAGGAGAAAAUGCUUUGGACUAUACCCGUCAGCGCUCCACCUGAUGAACAACUUGCUUUGUUGAAUGCCAUUGAAGAAAACAGACAGGAACAAAACACGGUCAGGUCUGCUGCGUUGCCAGCCAUAAUUCCUGAAGUGGUGAAAGACUAUGAUGCUGAUGCUAGUAGUAAUGAGGAUAAGGAUAAGGAAUGGUUGGAGGACAGAGGCAAACCCCUCUUGUGGGAUCCGGGCAUGGUUCUGGAGACUGAUGAUAAGGAGACCCAGCAGCUGCUCAAGGAUAGGGCUAACAAGUCGGACAUAUUGGAUGGUGGUGGUCAUGAGACAAAGGAUGAGAUGGAUGGUGGCAAAUUUCCUGUCUCGGAGGAACAGGUCACGGUUCUGGGGACCCAGGAGAUACCAUGCUCUCUACUUCUUUUGGAGAUCGAAUCCUAUAUGCAGGUGCUUAACGAACUGAAGGAUGCACGCAGAUGCUUCUACGGUGAAGAGCUUGAUAACUCCAAACAGCUGCGGAUCAAAGGGGUGGCGGGUACCAAAGAGGUGGCAGCUUUGCAUACCAGGCUAAGUGAAGCAAAACGUAAAAUGGACCUUCUUCUGCGGGGGGACACAGAAGCUGCCAGCCGGGUACUCAAAUGUGCUCGGGCGCAUGAGGUAGAGCGAAAGCAGUUGACUGGGGUUGGGAUGGAAGACAGUUUUUUGGAGAAGCAGGUGAUUGGUCCAUUGCCUUGUGAGGCUGGGAUGGGAGGGGAAUCCGGCAAGCAGCAGCAGUCUCAAUUUCUUCCUUGCCGCCCUGGGAUCCAGAGUAGUGAUCCACACAUGAUCGAAUGGACCAAAUCCAACGUCAAAGCUACAGAUCUCACUCCCACCAUCACCAAAAGUGAAAAUGGCGACAAUGGUGAUGUUGAUGUUGAUGAUCGGCUUGCUACCACAUUCGAUCAGCAUAUGAUCGAGCGGACCAAAUCCGAUGUCGAAGCAGCAGAUCUCAUUCCCACCAUCACCAAAAGUGACAGCAGCAACGAUGUUGAUGUUGAUGAGCGGCUCGCUACCACAUUCAGAUCAGACAAGCUGUUACUUGGAGCUGCAGAUCUCACUCCCACCAUCACUAAAAGUGACAGCUGCAACGAUAUUGAUGUUGAUGAGCGGCUCGCUACCACAUUCAAACAAGACAAGCUGUUACUUGAAGCUGCAGAUCCUGUUCCCACCGACACAGCUUAUGGUAAUGUUGAUAAGAUGGACAGCGGCAAAUCAAUCGAGCAGUUAGACAUGGAGGCCAUGGAGAUGGCCAGCGAGGAGAAUGAUUUCGCCCUGUACGCUGAGGCCCGGAACAAGGAAUGGGCUCACCAUGGUUACUUCGGAGACACGACGAUGUUGAGUUCCAUGCAGUUUGCACACUUGCAACCUGGUACCACCAAGUCAUACGGUGUUGGAUUCCCGCCCACCCUGCAGAUCAUUUCAGUCAAACUCGCGGAUAUAAAAGGUGGAUUGGAAUGGCCAUUGCCCGUGUACGGCGUGGUUGCUGUCCGGGACACCAUGGAUCACAAUCGUAACCUUCUGUUUGCUUGUGACCGGAACAAGUGCCAGAUAGUCGAGAAAGAUCAUCCUUACUUGUGCUUGACCGGCCCCUCUCGUGCAAUUGUGUUUGAAGAUGGUGUUAUCCUUGAAAUCAAACUGAAACUAAGAGGCAGCACAGUGUCUCAAGAUAGAGCAUUGAUCACUUGUAUGCGAAAUUACCAUGCAGGAAAGGGUACCAUCAGCUUUACAAACUGCUUCUGUACAGCUGAGUUAAGUUUGGAGGUGAUUCAGGAAACAGUCCAGGCCACGAUCUUGGGUAUCCGUGUCAAAGGGGGAUCAUGGCCUUCCAAAUAUGGAGGUAGAGUUGUUUGCUUCGCACCAGUCGAGGUCAUUGAUGGUCAAGACAUUUCCAGUCCUGAGGAAGUGGUGCUGCUUGAUUCCCGUCGUGGAGCAAUGCCUAGGGCUUCAGAUGGUUACCUUCGUCUCUCAAGGCAUGUUGUUUCUGUAGAAAUUCGAGGCAGCCUGGAAGUCGUCUUGCAGAGUUACUGUGCAUCUGGUGAUAUCGUUUCAGAAACUAAUGUAAGCUUGGGGAAGUCGUCUUUGCACCCGAUUAUUUCAAUGCAUGUCAGAAGAAAUGUAAGCUUGGGGACGCUGAGGUAG
rnacentral:rRNA from 1 species